CGUUGUUUUAGUGUAGACUUGAAAUCAAAAAAUGUUUUGAAAGAAAUGGAGCAGUCAAUUGAGAAAUUCUUUGAGGGCAUCAACUUGCAUGAAAUCCAAAUGUACUACAAAGAUGAAGUUGGAGAUCUUAUUGCCUUUUCUAGUGACGAAGAAUUAAGUUUAAGAACAAAGACUUUGACAAAGAACACAAUUGACAUCUUCAUAAAAGAGAAGGAAGAGCCUCCAUGGAAAAAUACAUAUGAUUACUAGGUGGUUUCCAGGAACAUGGAAGUACAUCCAGCAAGACUUAAGAAAAAUGCCA